CUUCAAACCAGUAUCACAUUUAAGAGUCAAAGUGUUAAAUUCUUCAGCAUUCCUGACAACUAGAAAGCACAUUCACUGAAGGCUGAAGGCAUAAGCAACCUAACCACUACAGCAAUACUGGAAAUAAAAGGUAACACUGCUCAAAGGAAAAAAAACCUAUACAUAUCCAUGUUAAAAAUAUAUACAUCAAAAUAUUAAUCGUUAUCUCCGUGGAGAAAGAUCUCCAGAUAAUCACACCUCUGAAACAGGUGCUAAAGCCACCAUGGACCCAACAGGCCAGUUCUGUUUUGUAUAAAGAACUCUUGAAACUCCAAGAAAACAAGUAACUGAAUUUAAAAAUCAGCAAAAGACCUGAACAUACGUCUCACCAAAAAUACACUGAUGGCAAGUAAGAUAUGAAAAGAUGUUCAACAUCAUUAUCAUGUCAUUAGAGGACUGCAAAUUAAAACAAUGAUGCCACACCUAUUAAAAUGGCUAAAUCCAAAAUGCUUGACAAUACCAAAUGCUAACAACAAUGUGGGGCAACAGGAACUCUUUUUUUUUUGCUGGCGGGAAUGCAACAUAGGAUAAUCACUUUGGAAGACAGCUUGGUGGUUUUUUAUAAAGCUUUUCAUACAAUCCAGCAAUUGUACUCUGGACAUUCACCCAAUUGAGAUGAAAACUGAGGUCCACACAAAAACCUGUAAACAAAUGUUUACAGCAGUUUUAUUCACAACUGCCAAAACCUAGAAGCAACCAAGAUAUACUUCAAUAGGCAAAUGGAUAAACUGUAGUAUAUCCAGACAUGAAAUAUUAGUCAUAAAAAUAAAUUAUCAAGUCAUGAAAAGACAUGAAGGAAACUUAGACAUGCUAAGGGAAAGAAGCCAGUCUGAAAAGAUUCCACACUAUAUGAUUCCAAAUAUAUGACAUUCUGGA